rnacentral:rRNA from 1 species
UGGGGAAUAUUGGACAAUGGACCAAGAGUCUGAUCCAGCAAUUCUGUGUGCACGAUGACGUUUUUCGGAAUGUAAAGUGCUUUCAGUUGGGAAGAAAAAAAUGACGGUACCAACAGAAGAAGUGACGGCUAAAUACGUGCCAGCAGCCGCGGUAAUACGUAUGUCACGAGCGUUAUCCGGAUUUAUUGGGCGUAAAGCGCGUCUAGGUGGUUAUGUAAGUCUGAUGUGAAAAUGCAGGGCUCAACUCUGUAUUGCGUUGGAAACUGUGUAACUAGAGUACUGGAGAGGUAAGCGGAACUACAAGUGUAGAGGUGAAAUUCGUAGAUAUUUGUAGGAAUGCCGAUGGGGAAGCCAGCUUACUGGACAGAUACUGACGCUGAAGCGCGAAAGCGUGGGUAGCAAACAGGGUUAGAUACCCUGGUAGUCCACGCCGUAAACGAUGAUUACUAGGUGUUGGGGGUCGAACCUCAGCGCCCAAGCAAACGCGAUAAGUAAUCCGCCUGGGGAGUACGUACGCAAGUAUG